rnacentral:rRNA from 1 species
GAUGAACGCUAGCGGCAGACCUAACACAUGCAAGUCGAGGGAGAAGCCCUUUCGGGGGCCGAAACCGGCGCACGGGUGCGUAACGCGUAUGCAACCUACCUUUCACAGGGGGAUAGCCCGAAGAAAUUUGGAUUAAUACCCCAUAAUAUUAUUGGAUGGCAUCAUUUGAUAAUUAAAACUGCGGUGGUGAAAGAUGGGCAUGCGUCCUAUUAGCUAGUUGGAGUGGUAACGGCACCCCAAGGCUACGAUAGGUAGGGGUCCUGAGAGGGAGAUCCCCCACACUGGUACUGAGACAGGGACCAGACUCCUACGGGAGGCAGCAGUGAGGAAGAUUGGUCAAUGGUCGGAAGACUGAACCAGCCAUGCCGCGUGCAGGAAGAAUGCCUUAUGGGUUGUAAACUGCUUUUAUAUGGGAAGAAUAAGGCGUACGUGUACGUUGAUGACGGUACCAUAUGAAUAAGCAUCGGCUAACUCCGUG